rnacentral:rRNA from 1 species
UACGGAGGAUGCGAGCGUUAUCCGGAAUCACUGGGUUUAAAGGGUGCGUAGGCGGGCUGAUAAGUCAGAGGUGAAAGCUCCUAGCUUAACUAGGGAAUUGCCUUUGAUACUGUUGGUCUUGAACAUAGAUGAGGUUGGCGGAAUGAGUCAUGUAGCGGUGAAAUGCAUAGAUAUGACUUAGAACACCGAUUGCGAAGGCAGCUGACUGGUCUAUUGUUGACGCUGAGGCACGAAAGCGUGGGUAGCGAACAGG